ACUAAGCGUACACGGUGGAUGCCCUGGCAGUCAGAGGCGAUGAAGGACGUGCUAAUCUGCGAUAAGCGUCGGUAAGGUGAUAUGAACCGUUAUAACCGGCGAUUUCCGAAUGGGGAAACCCAGUGUGUUUCGACACACUAUCAUUAACUGAAUCCAUAGGUUAAUGAGGCGAACCGGGGGAACUGAAACAUCUAAGUACCCCGAGGAAAAGAAAUCAACCGAGAUUCCCCCAGUAGCGGCGAGCGAACGGGGAGCAGCCCAGAGCCUGAAUCAGUGUGUGUGUUAGUGGAAGCGUCUGGAAAGGCGCGCGAUACAGGGUGACAGCCCCGUACACAAAAAUGCACAUGCUGUGAGCUCGAUGAGUAGGGCGGGACACGUGGUAUCCUGUCUGAAUAUGGGGGGACCAUCCUCCAAGGCUAAAUACUCCUGACUGACCGAUAGUGAACCAGUACCGUGAGGGAAAGGCGAAAAGAACCCCGGCGAGGGGAGUGAAAAAGAACCUGAAACCGUGUACGUACAAGCAGUGGGAGCCUCUUUUAUGGGGUGACUGCGUACCUUUUGUAUAAUGGGUCAGCGACUUAUAUUCUGUAGCAAGGUUAACCGAAUAGGGGAGCCGAAGGGAAACCGAGUCUUAACUGGGCGUUAAGUUGCAGGGUAUAGACCCGAAACCCGGUGAUCUAGCCAUGGGCAGGUUGAAGGUUGGGUAACACUAACUGGAGGACCGAACCGACUAAUGUUGAAAAAUUAGCGGAUGACUUGUGGCUGGGGGUGAAAGGCCAAUCAAACCGGGAGAUAGCUGGUUCUCCCCGAAAGCUAUUUAGGUAGCGCCUCGUGAAUUCAUCUCCGGGGGUAGAGCACUGUUUCGGCAAGGGGGUCAUCCCGACUUACCAACCCGAUGCAAACUGCGAAUACCGGAGAAUGUUAUCACGGGAGACACACGGCGGGUGCUAACGUCCGUCGUGAAGAGGGAAACAACCCAGACCGCCAGCUAAGGUCCCAAAGUCAUGGUUAAGUGGGAAACGAUGUGGGAAGGCCCAGACAGCCAGGAUGUUGGCUUAGAAGCAGCCAUCAUUUAAAGAAAGCGUAAUAGCUCACUGGUCGAGUCGGCCUGCGCGGAAGAUGUAACGGGGCUAAACCAUGCACCGAAGCUGCGGCAGCGACGCUUAUGCGUUGUUGGGUAGGGGAGCGUUCUGUAAGCCUGUGAAGGUGUGCUGUGAGGCAUGCUGGAGGUAUCAGAAGUGCGAAUGCUGACAUAAGUAACGAUAAAGCGGGUGAAAAGCCCGCUCGCCGGAAGACCAAGGGUUCCUGUCCAACGUUAAUCGGGGCAGGGUGAGUCGACCCCUAAGGCGAGGCCGAAAGGCGUAGUCGAUGGGAAACAGGUUAAUAUUCCUGUACUUGGUGUUACUGCGAAGGGGGGACGGAGAAGGCUAUGUUGGCCGGGCGACGGUUGUCCCGGUUUAAGCGUGUAGGCUGGUUUUCCAGGCAAAUCCGGAAAAUCAAGGCUGAGGCGUGAUGACGAGGCACUACGGUGCUGAAGCAACAAAUGCCCUGCUUCCAGGAAAAGCCUCUAAGCAUCAGGUAACAUCAAAUCGUACCCCAAACCGACACAGGUGGUCAGGUAGAGAAUACCAAGGCGCUUGAGAGAACUCGGGUGAAGGAACUAGGCAAAAUGGUGCCGUAACUUCGGGAGAAGGCACGCUGAUAUGUAGGUGAAGCGACUUGCUCGUGGAGCUGAAAUCAGUCGAAGAUACCAGCUGGCUGCAACUGUUUAUUAAAAACACAGCACUGUGCAAACACGAAAGUGGACGUAUACGGUGUGACGCCUGCCCGGUGCCGGAAGGUUAAUUGAUGGGGUCAGCGCAAGCGAAGCUCUUGAUCGAAGCCCCGGUAAACGGCGGCCGUAACUAUAACGGUCCUAAGGUAGCGAAAUUCCUUGUCGGGUAAGUUCCGACCUGCACGAAUGGCGUAAUGAUGGCCAGGCUGUCUCCACCCGAGACUCAGUGAAAUUGAACUCGCUGUGAAGAUGCAGUGUACCCGCGGCAAGACGGAAAGACCCCGUGAACCUUUACUAUAGCUUGAUACUGAACAUUGAGCCUUGAUGUGUAGGAUAGGUGGGAGGCUUUGAAGUGUGGACGCCAGUCUGCAUGGAGCCGACCUUGAAAUACCACCCUUUAAUGUUUGAUGUUCUAACGUUGACCCGUAAUCCGGGUUGCGGACAGUGUCUGGUGGGUAGUUUGACUGGGGCGGUCUCCUCCUAAAGAGUAACGGAGGAGCACGAAGGUUGGCUAAUCCUGGUCGGACAUCAGGAGGUUAGUGCAAUGGCAUAAGCCAGCUUGACUGCGAGCGUGACGGCGCGAGCAGGUGCGAAAGCAGGUCAUAGUGAUCCGGUGGUUCUGAAUGGAAGGGCCAUCGCUCAACGGAUAAAAGGUACUCCGGGGAUAACAGGCUGAUACCGCCCAAGAGUUCAUAUCGACGGCGGUGUUUGGCACCUCGAUGUCGGCUCAUCACAUCCUGGGGCUGAAGUAGGUCCCAAGGGUAUGGCUGUUCGCCAUUUAAAGUGGUACGCGAGCUGGGUUUAGAACGUCGUGAGACAGUUCGGUCCCUAUCUGCCGUGGGCGCUGGAGAACUGAGGGGGGCUGCUCCUAGUACGAGAGGACCGGAGUGGACGCAUCACUGGUGUUCGGGUUGUCAUGCCAAUGGCACUGCCCGGUAGCUAAAUGCGGAAGAGAUAAGUGCUGAAAGCAUCUAAGCACGAAACUUGCCCCGAGAUGAGUUCUCCCUGACUCCUUGAGAGUCCUGAAGGAACGUUGAAGACGACGACGUUGAUAGGCCGGGUGUGUAAGCGCAGCGAUGCGUUGAGCUAACCGGUACUAAUGAACCGUGAGGCUUAACC
rnacentral:rRNA from 1 species